CAUCUAUAUACUAUAUUUCGGUAAAGCAUUGUUGACAAGCGAAUGUUUGCGCCUUUUCUCUCAGCCAAUUUUACUGAUAUCCAUUUUGUGCGGCGUAUUUAUAGUAAUAUCUGUGUAGAUAUCACUUUUAAAUCCUCUUUUCUAGUUCCUUGGAAGGAGCUACCGGUCCUUCUCGCGUCAGCUGUGCGUGUGGGACGGUAGUAGUGGCCGAUUCUAACCUUGACGUCGAGGGCUUGCCGGCCGGCGAGCACGUGGCUAUCUCCUUAAAGAAGUUAGUACCAGCUCUGUUUUAUAAUUAACCUCUGGAAGAUGAUAACACGAGGAACAUGAUGAUGUAGAGAUGCAGAAUUCGAAUAAGAAAAGUCACCCGACAAUGGACGAAGAUGCUGUAUCAAUCCUGAACGAUGGUAAUAAGAAAUCUCCUCGUGUUAUUAAAGGCGCAAGAAACAAGAUCAAGAUGCAAGAUUCCACAGCUAACUCUCCGUUGAAAACGUUCGAGAGUAACAAGCUGGGUGUACAAGGUAGUGCAAGCGGAACGGACAACGGUGCGCUGGUUAAAAAUAUGAAAGGCGAGACAAAUUCGAUGGAAACUGCAAGAAAUUUCAAGUACGACGCUUUCUCGAAAGAACCUUUUAUCGUGUACUUUCGCAUUAAGUCAACCAAUGGGACACGGAUUAAGCUCUCCAAGAAACUCAAGAAAUGUAAUGUAAAAUUUGACAAAGUUACGAAAUACUCCAAAGAUAUUUGGAAAGCGACGUUUUCGUCGAGAACACAGGCGAACAGUGCGAUCACGAACAAAAUGGUGCAAGAUCUGGAGAUAACAGCUUUCGUUCCAAAAUAUAAGAUCAGCAGGAAGGUAGUCAUCAAGGAGAUUCCUUAUGAUAUGUCUAUGGUAGAAAUCAAGGAAAUCAUCGAGGAAGAAAAUUCUAACCUCUUGAUAGCAAAUCUAUUUAGACUGAAGCGGCGCAAUAAAAAUACCGGAAAAAUGGAGGAUUCAGAAACAGUCUGUAUGGAGUUGAAAGGUGAUUUUAUCCCCGAGGAGGUGUCAAUCCUAAAAGCUGUUAUAUCAGUAAAGCCGUUUAUACAGCCGGUACGUGUAUGUUUUAAUUGUGGACGUAUAGGCCACGCUAGCAAAGUCUGCAAAAACCCGGCUGCUUGUCUGACAUGCGCCGGGAACCACCAAUCUACGCGGAAAGAAUUGUGUUCAACGGUUAAAAAAUGUAUAAACUGUGGAGGCCCACACGACACUUUAGAUCGUGAAUGUCAUGUAUAUAAGAAACACCAUGAGAUUGCCAGAGUUAUGGCAUACAACAACCUUCCUUUUCUCGAAGCUCAGUCUCUUGUGGAGAGGGCUGAUGGACCUGAGAGGAGUGUGCCAAACAGGACACCGAGAGAUUUCUCCGUCCUUCUGUCCAGGGAUGGAUUUACGGGUGUUAAUCGCAGAAUGAUUCAGGGAACACUGGAAGAGAACGCUUCAUAUAGACUGGCAGUUUUAAAAGAAACUAAAGGCAGUGUUAAAGAUCAGCUAUGUAACAUUAUAGAGAUAAUUUUAUCAGAUCCGGAUGUAGAACUUUUAUGUGAAAGAAUUAAAAAAACUAUAGAUUUGCAUGUAACGAACAAUCUCAGGAAAGUUAAAGAAACCUGGCUAAUGUCAAACAAGAAUUUCAAGUUGAGGGAUUUUAAUACAGUGAGGAAGGACAGAACUAAUUGUACAGGUUCUAAUCACUGUACAUAAUAGUAUUAAGCAUAGAAGAGUACUAAAUAUAUAUGUCACAAAAUAGAGGUAUGCGCGAUUGUAAUCUACAUUAAUGGUGAGAAACUUAAUCUUGUGUUGUAUUACCGUCCUGUUAAUGAUGAAUUUAUAAUAAUUUUGAAAUGAAAAAACUUUUUUCCUUAAUUUGUUGGCAAGAUUAUUUUUGGUGGCAAUUUCAAUACGCAUAAUGAAAUGUGAUUGACGCGAAUGUGUCAUGUAGGUGUUAAUAUAGCUGAAGCCGAUAAAAAAUUUUGUGUUUGUAAUUAUAUAUAAUUAUAUUUAUUAUAUAUGCUUGCACAUAAUUUCAUGUAAUCAUAUUACAAUUAUAUAAUUAUACAUAAUUACGGAUGUACGUUUUAAUUUUAUAAAAGUAUAAGAAAAGUAAAGCUAGAGCAGAAUUCUCAUUGAAAAGCGCCAUACGUGGUUUAAGAAAUUUGAUUUAAAAAAAAAGGGCGAUAAAUUGCGAUAAACAGGCUCCAUUGGGCAUACGUCUCUUGCGAAAAGCUUCUGUCGGUUUCGUAUUGUUGAAUCUUUGGUUUGCAAGAUGUAAUAUCGAUAUCGAAGAAAUACCGCAUCACGUUUGUUGGAAAAGUAUAGGUUUUGAGAAACAAUGCAAGAAGCUGUAGUGCGUCUUGGUCGAAGCGUGCAAGUUCCUUCCUCACUGUAUCGAAUACUGUUAGCUACACUUGACUGUGAUACCAGGCAGGGUUGAGAAAGUACUUCGUAAAUGUAUCUCUCAAGGUAUCUGCAACGAUUCCUUAGCUGAUAUGUAAUGAAGAACCUUGAAGAAACACAAGCCUAUAAUGACCUAUAAUGACGUGCAAUAUACGUUGUCAAACCAGUAUACUUUAAAUUCACAUAACAUCAAAUUUUGUGGAUUCUCUGUACUAUCCGGAUAAUAGUGUUGGAAUUUGGUAGUAUCAAGCUCACAAAUCGGUUGUGGACAACAAUGUGGAUAUUUUUUGCUGUCAUCGAUGGAUGUGUAACCAACAUUUUUGUAAUGUAAUCCACAAGAAAAUCUGGAGCAUCUGGAAAGAAACGGAAUAAAAUUAGAUAUGAAAUAAAGAUUUCUCAGAAAAUUUACAUUAACAAUAAAAUCAUGAUAAAAUCUUGUAUAGUUAUGCAAGUUUGUUAUGACAUAAGGAACGUUGUUAAUUAUUUAUUAAUAAUAUAUUAAUGCUAUUUUAUAAAUACAAUUAAUGAUUGGAAAAUAGGCUAAUGAGAGUCAGCGCAGGUCAAAGAGCGCAAUCACGAGUAUCGAUAUUGAAUCAUUUAUUCAAUUUAAAAUUACAAAACGAACGUUUCAACUUGCUUUGGAGUCAUUUUCAGUGCAACUAAAAAUAGUACAGGCAAUAGAAAUAAAAGCCGUCAUCAAUUAUCAAAAACGGGAAGCACUCAAGUCUCUUUGUCUGGUUCUUUGACCCGCGCUGACUCUCAUUAGCCUAUUUUCCAAUCAUUAAUUGUAUUUAAAUUUCAAAAGUACGGAACUAAUUAAUUGCUAUUUUAUAAGAUUUUUGGUUAAAAUAAAAUAAUUAUAUUGUAAUUAUAACGCAAUUUAACUAUAACAUAGUACACAUACGGUAAGAUAUAAAUAGAUAUCUUCAAUAUUUGCCAUUAUCUAUACGGAUAGAAAAGAUCCGGCCGAUAUAUGUGCUCCAUGAAUAAAAAACUAUUCUAU